rnacentral:rRNA from 1 species
GACGAACGCUGGCGGCGUGCCUAACACAUGCAAGUCGAACGGAAAGGCCCUGCUUUUGUGGGGUGCUCGAGUGGCGAACGGGUGAGUAACACGUGAGUAACCUGCCCCUGACUUUGGGAUAACUUCAGGAAACUGGGGCUCAUACCGGAUAGGAGCUCCUGCUGCAUGGUGGGGGUUGGAAAGUUUCGGCGGUUGGGGAUGGACUCGCGGCUUAUGAGCUUGUUGGUGGGGUAGUGGCUUACCAAGGUUUUGACGGGUAGCCGGCCUGAGAGGGGGACCGGCGACAAUGGGACUGAGAUACGGCGCAGACUCGUACGGGAGGCAGCAGUGGGGAGUAUUACACAAUGGGCGGGAGCCAGAUGCAGCAACGCCGCGUGCGGGAUGACGGCCUUCGGGUUGUGAACCGCUUUCGCCUGUGACGAAGCGUGAGUGACGGUAAUGGGUAAAGAAGCACCGGCUAACUACGUG